rnacentral:rRNA from 1 species
GACGUAGGGCGCGAGCGUUGUCCGGAUUUAUUUGGCGUAAAGAGCUCGUAGGCGGCUUGUCGCGUCGACUGUGAGAACCCGUGGCUCAACCAUGUGGUCUGCAGUCGAUACGGGCAGGCUAGAAUUCGGUAGGGGAGACUGGAAUUCCUGGUGUAGCGGUGAAAUGCGCAGAUAUCAGGAGGAACACCGGUGGCGAAGGCGGGUCUCUGGGCCGAUAUUGACGCUGAGGAGCGAAAGCGUGGGGAGCGAACAGG